GCAUAUCAAUAAGCGAGAAAAGAACCAACAGGGAUUGCCCUUAGUAACGGCGAGUGAAGCGGCAACAGCUCAAAUUUGAAAUCUGGCUCUCGGGCCCGAGUUGUAAUUUGUAGAGGAUGCUUUUGAUGCGGUGCCUUCCGAGUUCCCUGGAACGGGACGCCAUAGAGGGUGAGAGCCCCGUCUGGUUGGAUGCCAAAUCUCUGUAAAGCUCCUUCGACGAGUCGAGUAGUUUGGGAAUGCUGCUCUAAAUGGGAGGUAUAUGUCUUCUAAAGCUAAAUACUGGCCAGAGACCGAUAGCGCACAAGUAGAGUGAUCGAAAGAUGAAAAGCACUUUGAAAAGAGAGUUAAAAAGUACGUGAAAUUGUUGAAAGGGAAGCGUUUAUGACCAGACUUGGGCUUGGAUAAUCAUCUGGGGUUCUCCCCAGUGCACUUUUCCAGUCCAGGCCAGCAUCAGUUUUCGCCGGGGGAUAAAGGCUUCGGGAAUGUGGCUCCCUCCGGGGAGUGUUAUAGCCCGUUGCGUAAUACCCUGGCGGGGACUGAGGUUCGCGCAUCUGCAAGGAUGCUGGCGUAAUGGUCAUCAACGACCCGUCUUGAAACACGGACCAAGGAGUCGUCUUCGUAUGCGAGUGUUCGGGUGUCAAACCCCUACGCGUAAUGAAAGUGAACGCAGGUGAGAGCUUCGGCGCAUCAUCGACCGAUCCUGAUGUUCUCGGAUGGAUUUGAGUAAGAGCAUACGGGGCCGGACCCGAAAGAAGGUGAACUAUGCCUGUGUAGGGUGAAGCCAGAGGAAACUCUGGUGGAGGCUCGCAGCGGUUCUGACGUGCAAAUCGAUCGUCAAACAUGGGCAUGGGGGGCGAAAGACUAAUCGAACCUUCUAGUAGCUGGGUUUCCGCCGAA
rnacentral:rRNA from 1 species